UCUCUCCUUCCCUGCAUGAUUGCGACAUUUCUUGUUCGGUUGCUUGCAGUUCAAUUAUACUUCAACAGCAGAAAAGAGCAACUCUUUCGUUUCUUGACAGAGGUACAUACAAUGUGUCUGGAACAAGAAAUCUACAAUGGUUGCCAAUAUAAUAUGUUAAAGAUGCUUCGAGAUUCACGUCCUUCUUCGGAUCAUCAGUAUGAAGAGGGUUGCAUCGCCAGGGAAGAAGGCUGUAGCAGUGAAGCCGAAGAGUAUGAAAUCGCCGACGGUGAAGAAAUGAGUGACCAAGAAGGCGAAAAGUGAAGAUAUUCAUUUGGGGUUUGUAGAGAGGGUAGUGAUUGUAAAUUUGAUGGAUAAUGGAGGAUAGUAAUGCUAGUUCCUUAGCGGUAACAGAAAUGUUAUUUUUCAGGCUAUUUUUAAGCUUCAUUAUAUUUGGUUUUUUUAUUCAAUGUAAUUUUAGUGUCUUUAUAUAUGUAUGUAUAUAGCGAAAAAAUGUCAUUUUCUGAUGGUGUUCUUCAA